GGGUCUUGUACACACCGCCCGUCACACCACGGGAGUUGGAGACGCCCGAAGCCGAUUAUCUAACCUUUUGGAAGAAGUCGUCGAAGGUGGAAUCAAUAACUGGGGUGAAGUCGUAACAAGGUAGCCGGAUCGGAAGGUGCGGCUGGAUCACCUCCUUUCUAAGGAGA
rnacentral:rRNA from 1 species